GUAGAUAUAGUUUAACCCAAAACAUUAGAUUGUGGUUCUAAAAACAGAGGUUAAAAUCCUCUUAUCCACC
rnacentral:tRNA from 7 species